UGGGGAAUUUUGGACAAUGGGCGAAAGCCUGAUCCAGCAAUGCCGCGUGUGUGAAGAAGGCCUUCGGGUUGUAAAGCACUUUUGUCCGGAAAGAAAUCCUCUGGGUUAAUACCUCGGGGGGAUGACGGUACCGGAAGAAUAAGCACCGGCUAACUACGUGCCAGCAGCCGCGGUAAUACGUAGGGUGCAAGCGUUAAUCGGAAUUACUGGACGUAAAGCGUGCGCAGGCGGUUUUGUAAGACGGAUGUGAAAUCCCCGGGCUUAACCUGGGAACUGCAUUCGUGACUGCAAGGCUAGAGUAUGGCAGAGGGGGGUAGAAUUCCACGUGUAGCAGUGAAAUGCGUAGAGAUGUGGAGGAAUACCGAUGGCGAAGGCAGCCCCCUGGGCCAAUACUGACGCUCAUGCACGAAAGCGUGGGGAGCAAACAGGAUUNGAUACCCUGGUAGUCCACGCCCUAAACGAUGUCACUAGUUGUGGGAUUCAUUCCUUAGUAACGUAGCUAACGCGUGAAGUUGACCGCCUGGGGAGUACGGUCG
rnacentral:rRNA from 1 species